rnacentral:lncRNA from 1 species
CCUAUGGGACGGUCGGACAAGUUGUUUUGAGAAAUCUUGGUUUAAAUGAUUGACAACUCAGCACCGUCCAUUAGACGGAGGUCGUUUUGGUCAUAUAUAUAUAUAUAGAUGUAUGAAUGAAUGUGUGUGUGUGUGUAUGCGUGUGUGUGUGUCUUUCUAAGGAGGUGCUUAUGUGUUUAUGGCAGCAGCCAAUUUUCUGGUGUGAACCUAGGAAACUGUAUCACUAAAUAUUUUAUCAAAUUGCAGAUACUAUCUGUUCAUCAGAACUCAUGUCAGUAGUCUCUAAGAUAUUCAGUAACAAGACUGCAAACUUACAGCCUUUAUAAAUGCAUACAGCAAUGCCUUCCUACAUACAUAUACAGACAAACACACACACAUAUAUAUAUAUAUAUAUAUAUAUAUAUAUAUAUAUAUAUAUAUAUAUAUAUAUAUAUAUAUAUAUAUAUAUAUAUAUAUAUAUAUAUAUAUAUAUAUAUAUAUAUAUAUAUAUAUAUAUAUAUAUAUAGAUAGAUAGAUAGAUAGAUAGAUAGAUAUAUACACACACACACACACAUACAUACAUAUAUAUAUGUAUGGGUUCAGUCCCACUGCGUGGCAUCUUGGGCAAGUGUCUUCUGCUAUAGCCCUGGGCCGACCAAUACCUUGUGAGUGGAUUUGGUAGACAGAAACUGAAAGAAGCCUGUCGUAUAUAUGUAUAUAUAAGUGUGUAUGUAUGUGUUUGUGUGUCUGUGUUUGUCCCCCUAGCAUUGCUUGACAACCGAUGCUGGUGUGUUUACGUCCCUGUCACUUAGCGGUUCGGCAAAAGAGACCGAUAGAAUAAGUACUGGGCUUACAAAGAAUAAGUCCCGGGGUCGAUUUGCUCGACUAAAAGGCGGUGCUCCAGCAUGGCCGCAGUUAAAUGACUGAAACAAGUAAAAGAGUAAAGAGAGAUAUAUAUAUUUGUAUAUAUAUAUACAGAAAAAACAAACAAACACGUGGACAUAGCAUAAGCAAUGCAUUGAUAAGACGCUCAGAGAAAGAAAAGUGUAGCUGUUUUAUGUUUCAAGCAUAGCUCUUCUUCAGAAACAGGAAAAAUAGAAAAGACCAAGAUGAAGGAAAAUAAAAAUAUUACCAACAAUCACGUGCAGUUACAUAUAUGUAUGUAUAUAUGUUUAUAUAUAUAUAUAUAUAUAUAUAUAUAUAUAUAUAUAUAUAUAUAUGUAUAUAUAUCAUCAUCAUCAUCGUUUAACGUCUGUUUUCCCAGCUAGCAUGGGUUGGAUGGUUCGACCAGGGUCUGGGAAGCCAGGAGGCUGUGCUAGGCUCCAGUCUGAUCUGGCAGUGUUUCUAUAGCAGGAUGCCCUUCCUAACACCAACCACUCUGUGAGUGUAGUGGGUGCAUUUUACAUGCCACUGGCACACGUGCCAGGGGAGACUGGCAAUGACCACAAUCAGUUGGUGUUUUUUAUGUGCCACAGGCACAGAAGUCGUUCAAGGCGGUGCUGACAUCGACCACGUACGGAUGGUACUUUUUACGUGCCAGGCGAGGCUGGCAAUGCAUAUAUAUAUAUAUGUAGAUAGAUAGAUACAGACAGAUACCCCAAUUGAUAAAAAAAAAUAUAUAUAUAUAUGUGCACAAGCACAAGUAUGUAUAUAUGUAUAUCUAUGCAUAUAUAUAUACACAUAUAUAGAUAGAUAGAUAGAUAUACAUAUAUAUAAGUAUGUAUAUAUAUAUAUAUAUAUAUAUAUAUAUAUAUAUAUAUAUAUAUAUAUAUAUAUACACAUAUAUAGAUAGAUAGAUAGAUAUACAUAUAUAUAUAGUAUGUAUAUAUAUAUAUAUAUAUAUAUAUAUAUAUCUUUUACUUGUUUCAGUCAUUUGACUGCGGCCAUGCCGGAGCACUGCCUUUAGUCGAGCAAAUCGACCCCGAGACUUAUUCUUUGUAAGCCCAGUACUUAUUCUAUCGGUCUCUUUUGCCGAACUGCUAAGUAACGGGGACAUAAACACACCAGCAACAGUUGUCAAGCAAUGCUAGGGGGACAAACACAGACACAAACUUACACACACAUACAUAUAUACGACAGGCUUCUUUCAGUUUCCGUCUACCAAAUCCACUCACAAGGCUUUGGUCGGCCCAAGGCUAUAGCAGAAGACACUUGCCCAAGAUGCCACGCAGUGGGACUGAACCCGAAACCAUGUGGUUGGUUAGCAAGCUACUUACCACAUAGCCACUCCUGCACCUAUAUAUAUAUAUAUAUAUAUAUAUAUAUAUAUAUAUAUAUAUGUACACAUAUAUAGAUAGAUAGAUAUACAUAUAUAUAUAUAUAUAUAUAUAUAAGUAUGUAUAUAUAUAUAUAUACACACAAGCACAAGUGUGUAUAUAUGUAUAUCUAUACAUAUGCAUGUGUAUGUAUAUAUGCAUAUGUGUAUAUAUAGUUGUGUGCAUGUGCAUAUGCGUGUCUGUGAAUGUGUUGAGUGUGUAUGUGCAUGUACAAACACAAUAUCAAUGAAUAUACAGAUGUACAUAUGGUUCAUUAUCUGAUCUACAAUGUAUCUUAUUGUGUUUCACAUUUCUCUUGUUCCAUAUUUUCGAUUUAUCACAGUUUCUUAGAUUGUUUUAUUAGUGUUAACAUGAAUAAAAUCUUUCUGCUACAUAGGUUAUCUCAAUGUUGUACAUGACAUCAAUGUAUCUGCGUGUGUUUAUGUAUAAUAUAUAUAUAUAUAUAUAUAUAUAUAUAUAUAUAUAUGUAUGUAUGUAUGUAUGUAUAUACACGCUCACACAUUAUAUAUAUAUAUAUAAACGUAAUAUGUAUAUACACACAUAUACAUGACACAUAUAUAUAUAUGUAUAUAUAUAUACAUAUAUUUAUGUAUGUAUAUGAAUAUAUCGGCUGUUAUUGACUGGUUAUAUGUACGUAUUUAUACCUAAAUAUAUUUAUCCCUAUCUAUCUAAUCUGUAUGUGUCUCCCUGCUAUCAUCUUCCUUUCUCUUUCUCUUGCUUUCUCUCCCUGUAUAUAUAUAUAAUAUAAAUAUAUGCAUAUAUCUACACUCUCGGAGUGGUUGGCGUUAGGAGGGGCAUCCAGCUGUAGAAACACUGCCAGAUCUGACUGGCCUGGUGCAGCCUUCGGGCUUGCCAGACCCCAGUUGAACCGUCCAACCCAUGCUAGCAUGGAAAGCGGACGUUAAACGAUGAUGAUGAUGAUGAUGAUGAUGAUGAUACAUAUAUCUAUGUAUAUAUGCAUAUAUUUAUAUAUUAUUUUUAUUAUUAUAUGAUCGAAUGCCACGUAUCCUUUUCCAAGUAAGUUUUAUCUUAUAUAUAUAUAUAUAGGUAUGUAUAUAUAUGUAUGCAUAUACAUACAGAUAUAUAUAUAUAUGUAUAUACAUGUAUAUAUAUAUAUACACACACACACACAUAUAUUCAUAUACAUAUGAAUAUAUCUCUGUAUGUUUAUGUUCCAGUAUAAAAACACAUUAUCACUGAUCGCAAACUGGUACUUUUCUUAAAUGUGCAUUAAAAUAACAACAUCAUAUUAACAUUUCCUUUAUGUACGUAUAUUAUAGUGCUUCUGUUAUGUAAAAAGCACCCAGUCCUCUCUCUCUCUAAUGUGGGUGGCAUUAGAAAGAGCAUCCAGCCAUAUAAACCAUGCAAAAACAGACAAUGGGACCAGGUACAGUCCUCUGGCUUUCCAGGUGUUGUCAAGCAGUCCAUGAUGAUGAUGAUGAUGAUGAUGAUGAGGGUGAUGAUGAUGAUGCUGGUGAUGAUAAUGAAGUGGCUAUAUGGCAUAGCUACAGUAGUGGCUGUGUGGUAAGUCACUUGCUUACCAACCAUACGGUUCCGGGUUCAGUCCCACUGCAUGGCACCUUGGGCAAGUGUCUUCUACUAUAGCCUUGGGCCAACCAAAGCCUUGUGAAUGGAUUUGGAAAACAGAAACUGAAAGAAGCUCAUCGUAUAUAUAUGUGUAUAUAUAAAUAUAUAUGUGUGUGUGUGUGUGUUUGUCCCCCCAACAUCACUUGACAACCGAUGCUGCAGAGUUUACGCCCCCGUAACUUAGCAGUUCGGCAAAAGAAAACCAAUAGAAUAAGUACUAGGCUUACAAAGAAUAAGUCCUCAGGUCAAUUUGCUUGACUAAAGGCGGUGCUCCAGCAUGGCCACAGUCAAAUGACUAAGAGUAAAAGAGUAUACAUAUAUAUAUAUAUAUAUAUAUAUAUAUAUAUAUAUAUAUAUAUAUAUAUAUAUAUAUAUAUAUAUAUGUAUGUAUGUAUGUAUGUAUGUAUGCAUGUAUGUGUGUAUGUAUGUAUGUAUGUAGUAUGUAUGUAUAUGUUGAAUAAAAUGAGACAACAAAGCCAAAGCAAUGUGAAAUUUGUAGAACAUUUAUAAAGAGAUAGUCUUACAGCUGUUUCAGGGAUAUAAAGGAUAUUCCAUCAUAUAUAUAUAUAUAGGGGCAGGUGCAGCUGCAUGGGGAGUAUUUUGGUUCUGUAUUCAACAAUACUGCUCGCCACCUUGGGCAAGUGCCUUCUACUAUAACACUGAGCUGAUCAAAGCCUCGUGAGUUGAUUUGGGAGAUGGAAACUGAAAGAAGCCCAUCAUAUAUAUAUAUAUGUAUAUAUAUAUAUUAAAUAUAUAUAUUUAUAUAUACACACACAUACAUAUAUAUAUACAUACAUAUAUAUUUACGUACAUACAUGUAUGCAUGUAUGUAUGUAUCUAUCUAUCUAUCUAUCUAUAUAUAUAUAUAUAUAUAUAUACAGCAAGGCCAUCACACUUCAGGACCAGCUACUGCAACAGCCUGGGUUUCAAGGGCCCACAGCUUUUUAAUAUUCUCCCAAAGAGUCUGAGGAACUUGCACAAAGUAGAUGUAGCAGUUUUUAAAUCAAAGCUGGACCUCUUCCUGUUGAGAGUCCCAGAUGAACCUACCUCACUGCAAGAGGUGCAGAUUAGGGUAGCUAUAUCAAACUCCAUUCUUCACCAAGUGCCACAUAUUAGAGGAGGCUCUUAGUUAUAACAGUGUGGUACAAAAUGGCAGUGCAUCAGCAUGGCUGCAGCUCUGAGCUGAAACUAAUAUAUAUAUAUAUAUAUAUAUAUACUGACAUUUUUUAUUUAAAUAUUCUAUUGUGCAAUCAGAAUUUUGUUUCAAAACUCUUUCCUUAUUUAAGAUUUUCCAUUCUUACCACUUUGCUCUGAUAAUGUUGAACCCAACAUCAUUUGAAGAUCUUAAUCAGUCUCAUCAUCAGAAGACACUGAUGGUAGUGGCCCAUUAUAGCUAAGUUUAUAGUACAUAGCAGGGGAUCAUACAAAUGAAGUUAUCAUUGAUAAAUUUAUAAAAUUGUUGUUUCCAUUUCUAUAAAUUUAUAAGUCUUCAAUAGUUAGUCAGUGUGUGCAUUUAUAGAUGUAUCAAUAUAAACACAGUGGUGCUGAACAUCACCAUUUUGAGGGUCACUUUUCAAUGCUCACAUGCUUCAGAUAGAAUUUUGUUGAGGAGGACAUUUUUCAGCUGGAUACCCUUCCAGUUACCAACCCUUACCUGCUUCCAAAUAAGGUAAUAUUUCCCUAUGACCAGGUAUAUUUUCACAGAUGAUUGUAAAUGAAGAAUAUUGCUUGCAUGAGGAAGACAUUUCUUUACAGCUAUCACAGGAUGACAAAUCAAGAAGACAAUAACACACAUACAUAUGCACACAUAUACAUACAUACCCACUACACACACACACACACAUAAACACACACAUACAUAUGCACACAUAUACAUACAUACCCACUACACACACACACACACACACACAAACACACACAUACAUAUGCACACAUAUACAUACAUACCCACUACACACACACACACACACACAAACACACACAUGAAGUCAAUUGGCAGAGUUGUUAGAAUAUCAAAGAUUGCUUUCUGGUAAGCAUUCUGGCUCAAUGAGCUUCAGAGUUCAAAUCCAGCUGAGGUCAAAUUUACCUCGUAACUUGACCCAUUUUUCCUGCCUAACAAUCUUCUGGAAUGAAACAGCUGCACCAAGAACUGGUGAAAGCUAGGUUUUGCCAGGUUUAGAAAUGCUCAAAGCUCACUCACUGUUUGUCACAAUGGAGGAUGGAACCCUUAUGAUUCCUUCAAAUAUUUGAGGGCCAAAUAUCAAAGCAUAUAUAUAUAUAUAUAUAUAUAUAUAUAACUAGCACCUGUGCUAGUGACACAUAAAAGAGUGCAAUGGAAUGGCAUCCAGCCAUAGAAACCAUACUAAAUCAGAUUGGUGUUUGGUGCAGCACUUCAGCUUACCAACCAGCAUCAACAAUGGAUGCUAAAUGAUGAUGAUGAUGUGUAUAUGUAUAUAUAUAUAUAUAUACAUAUAUACACACAUAUAUAGAUAGAUAGAUAAAUAAUAUCUAUACACAUAUAUAUAUAGAUGCAUAUAUAUUCAUAUAUAUGUAUAUAUAUGUAUAUAUAUAUAUAUAUAUAUAUAUAUAUAUAUAUAUAUAUAUAUAUAUAUAUAUAUAUAUAUAUAUAUAUAUAUAUAUAUAUAUAUAUAUAUAUAUAUAUAUAUAUAUAUAUAUAUUAUUCUCCCCUUAUUUCGCUCUCGCGUCUCAUGUCUGAUCUUUGACCUCUGGCCGAAAUCAGAUCGCCAUGUUGAUUCGUUAGUUACUGCACGCAUUUUUUUCUCUCCUUCUUUCUGUGUUUUUUUCUCUCUGUGUAUCUUUCUGUUGAAGAGCGUAGGCUCGAAACGUUAAAGACUUGUUUUAUUUAUAUUUCCUGAGCGCCAUACUAAUACAAUUGUUUGUUUGUUUUCCACCUGCCUUCGUCUUUUGUCUAUUUUCAUAAAGCUUCCCGUUAUAUAUAUAUAUAUAUAAAUAUAUAUUUAUAUAUAUAUAUGUAUAUAUAUGUAUGUAUAUAUAUGUAUAUAUAUAUAUAUAUAUAUAUAUAUAUAUAUAUAUAUAUAUAUAUAUAUAUAUAUAUAUAUAUAUAUAUAUACAUACAUAUACAUAUAUAAGAGAGAGAGAGAGAGAGAGAGAGAGAGACAAACUCUCAGAUCUUGUAACUCUCUGUUACUUCUGUUAAAUAUUAAUAAAAAUAUACAUAUAUUCAUAUUUUUAGUUCUAUCUUUCAUGUUUGCAUCAGCAUACCUGUAUAUAUAUAUAUAAUGAGAAUUUACAAAAAAAAAAAAAAACCGAAGAUGGGUGUGUAAACAACAAACAGAUGUAUUAGUUUAACACUCGUGAAGUGAGAAAGUCUUUUACAUUUCGAGCCUAUGCUCUUUGACAGAAAAGGACACAAAUAAACAGGGAGAGAAAAUAAAAAUGGUUUAGUGGCUAGUGAUCUAUCAUGGUGAUCUAUAUAUAUAUAUAUAUAUAUAUAUAUAUAUAUAUAUCAUCAUCAUCAUCAUCAUCAUUUAGCGUCCGUUUUCCAUGCUAGCAUGGGUUGGACGGUUCUGCUGGGGUCUGUGAAGCCAGAAGGCUUCAUCAGGCCCAGUCAAAUCUGGCAGUGUUUCUACGGCUGGAUGCCCUUCCUAACGCCAACCACUCCGUGAGUGUAGUGGGU